GGACCCGCACAAGCGGUGGAGCAUGUGGUUUAAUUCGACGCAACGCGAAGAACCUUACCUGGACUAGAAUGUGAGGGAAGGGCUUCUAACAGAGUCCGUCUGGGAAACCAGACCCAAAACAAGGUGCUGCAUGGCUGUCGUCAGCUCGUGUCGUGAGAUGUUGGGUUAAGUCCCGCAACGAGCGCAACCCUUAUCAACAGUUGCCAUCAUUAAGUUGGGAACUCUGUUGAGACUGCCGUUGAUAAAACGGAGGAAGGUGGGGAUGAUGUCAAGUCAUCAUGGCCUUUAUGUUCAGGGCUACACACGUGCUACAAUGGAUGGUACAAAACGUCGCAAUCCCGCGAGGGGGAGCUAAUCGCUAAAACCAUUCUCAGUUCGGAUUGGAGUCUGCAACUCGACUCCAUGAAGUUGGAAUCGCUAGUAAUCGCAAAUCAGCAUGUUGCGGUGAAUACGUUCCCGGGUCUU
rnacentral:rRNA from 1 species